UAAGGAAUAUUGGUCAAUGGACGCAAGUCUGAACCAGCCAUGCCGCGUGGAGGAUGAAGGUCCUCUGGAUUGUAAACUUCUUUUAUCUGGGACGAAACACUUCUUUUCUAAGAGGCCUGACGGUACCAGAUGAAUAAGCACCGGCUAACUCCCUGCCAGCAGCCGCGGUAAUACGGAGGGUGCAAGCGUUAUCCGGAUUCACUGGGUUUAAAGGGUGCGUAGGUGGGUAUGUAAGUCAGUGGUGAAAUCCCCGAGCUUAACUUGGGAACUGCCAUUGAUACUAUAUAUCUUGAAUACCGUAGAGGUAAGCGGAAUAUGUCAUGUAGCGGUGAAAUGCUUAGAUAUGACAUGGAACACCAAUUGCGAAGGCAGCUUACUAUGCGGUGAUUGACACUGAGGCACGAAAGCGUGGGUAGCAAACA
rnacentral:rRNA from 1 species